CACAAAAGAUAUGCUGAUCUCAAACAUGCAAUGACAUCCAUAUAAACCUUGCAAAAUGAUGGCUGUGAUGACACCCAGUGAUGGUCUUUCUCAACUCUCUGCACGUCAUGUCACUCAUCAGAGCCUUUGGAGCUUCAGUUGCCUUGCAAUGCUGUUUCAGGCUGUACUCACUCUUUCUGCACCACAAAUGCAUGUCUUCUCAAGUGUUUUUAUACACUGGACCCAUUGCAUCCAGUGAUGUCAGAGGAAUUCUCAGUUUAGUAUAGUCACAUGAUGGAUCAGAGAUACAGAACUAGAAUUCAUGAGGGAUACAAAUCUCAAGUGAAAGGUGCAUAUCUACGGAUUGUCCGCAAGAAACCAAUGAGUUAUGCAAAAUCUUUUCCAAAGGAAAUGGAAAAUUAAGGAAAAAAGUGAAUAAAACUUUACAAUAAUGA
rnacentral:lncRNA from 1 species